rnacentral:rRNA from 1 species
GACGAACGCUGGCGGCGUGCCUAAUACAUGCAAGUCGAACGCAUUGGGGACGGGUGAGUAACACGUUGGUAACCUCCCAUCAGAGGGGAUAACCCUUGGAAACAGGUGCUAAACCGAUACUGAUGGAUGCACCCGCGGUGCAUUAGCUAGUUGGUGAGGUACCGGCUCCUCAAGGCCACGAUGCAUAGCCGACCGGAGCGGGUGACCGGCCACACUGGGAUGGGUACACGGCCCAGAAUCCUACGGGAGGCAGCAGUAGGGAAUCUGCGGCAAUGGACGAAAGGCUGGCCGAGCAACGCGGCGUGAGUGAAGAAGGUUUGCGGAUCGUAAAGCUUUGUUGUUAGAGAAGCGGUAUCUAACCAGAAAGCAACGGCUAACUACGUGCCAGCCGCCGCGGUAAUAC